rnacentral:misc_RNA from 1 species
AAAUGAAAAGCAGCAGGAGAACCAAGACAUGCUCAUUAAGUGCAUUUCUCAAGAUUUAGGCUUUUCUGGAGGCAAACCAAUUGCAGCUUGUCUCAUAUACAAAUGUCUGCUCCACUGGAGGUCCUUUGAAGUGGAAAGAACUAGUGUUUUUGACCGUAUAAUACAAACCAUUGCUUCAGCCAUAGAGGUCCAAGAUAAUAAUGAUAUAUUAGCCUACUGGUUAUGCAAUACGUCCACAUUGUUGAUGCUGCUUCAACAAACACUUAAAGCUAGUGGGGCUGCUAAUUUGACUCCGCAGAGGCGGAGAUCCAGUUCAGCCUCUUUGUUUGGAAGGAUGUCCCAAGGCUUGCGAGGUUCUCCUCAGAGUGCUGGGCUUUCAGUUCUCAAUGGGCGUAUGCUUGGGAGAUUGGAUGACUUACGUCAUGUUGAGGCCAAGUAUCCUGCGCUGCUGUUCAAGCAGCAGCUGACUGCCUUUUUGGAGAAAAUAUAUGGAAUGAUAAGAGACAAUCUGAAGAAAGAGAUAUCCCCAUUGCUUGGGCUAUGUAUUCAGGCACCAAGAACAUCUCGUGCAAGUUUAGUCAAAGGAAGAUCCCAAGCUAAUGCUGCUGCCCAGCAAGCUCUAUUUGCUCAUUGGCAAAGCAUUGUAAAAAGUUUGAAUAACUACUUGAUGAUGAUGAAAUCAAACCAUGUUCCUCCCUUCUUAGUUCGGAAGGUUUUCACUCAAAUAUUUUCCUUUAUCAAUGUUCAACUUUUCAACAGUCUUCUUUUGCGGCGUGAGUGU